AUGAUCACUGUUAUAUUCGUGUGUCUGUGGCUUUCACUAGGUGACUCCAUGGCAGAUUCACUAGAGCCAAUUUUCACUCAUAAAGUUGUAGAUGAAGGUGAUGAUGUUACUCUGUCCUGCAGAUACAAAUUCAGCAGUGGUACAAGCAACUACCUGCAGUGGUACAGACAAUAUCCAAAAUCUAAACCUGAGUUCCUUCUUUAUAUUCAUCAAAGUGGAGCUCUAAGUCCCAACACUCCCCAAAGAAUGUCUGCUAAACUUCAUGAAGGUGAAGAUAAACUAGUCGAUCUGAUCAUCUCCUCUGCUGCUGUAUCAGACUCUGCUCUAUACUACUGUGCUCUGAGGCCCACAGUGACAGGAAAUCCAGCUGCACUGUACAAAAACUAA